rnacentral:rRNA from 1 species
AGCGAACGCUGGCGACAGGCCUAACACAUGCAAGUCGAACGAACCCUUCGGGGUUAGUGGCGGACGGGUGAGUAACACGUGGGAACGUGCCUUUAGGUUCGGAAUAACUCAGGGAAACUUGUGCUAAUACCGAAUGUGCCCUUCGGGGGAAGAUUUAUCGCCUUUAGAGCGGCCCGCGUCUGAUUAGCUAGUUGGUGAGGUAAUGGCUCACCAAGGCUACGAUCAGUAGCUGGUCUGAGAGGAUGACCAGCCACAUUGGGACUGAGACACGGCCCAAACUCCUACGGGAGGCAGCAGUGGGGAAUCUUGCGCAAUGGGCGAAAGCCUGACGCAGCCAUGCCGCGUGGAUGAUGAAGGUCUUAGGAUUGUAAAAUCCUUUCACCGGUGAAGAUAAUGACUGUAGCCGGGGAAGAAGCCCCGGCUAACUUCGUGCCAGCCGCCGCCGUAAUAC